UACAGAGGUCUCGAGCGUUAGGCGGAAUCACUGGGCUUAAAGCGUGUGUAGGCGGAUCGGUAAGUACCUUGUGAAAUCCCACAGCUUAACCGUGGAACUGCUUGGUAUACUGCCAGUCUUGAGCCAGCUAGGGGCGACCGGAACAGACGGUGGAGCGGUGAAAUGCGUAGAUAUCUGGAGGAACACCGGUGGCGAAGGCGGCAUCCUGGACCGAUACUGACGCUGAGGAGCGAAAGCCAGGGGAGCAAACGGG
rnacentral:rRNA from 1 species